rnacentral:lncRNA from 1 species
CUUUAUUUUGUCUAUUUGUUUUGCCCCAUUUACUGGAAUUAUGUUUUUCGGUAUAUGCUUCCGCUUGUUCAUUUGUUCGCCCGUCCGUUCAUCUAUUCGUUAGUCCGUCCGUUCGUUCAUCCGUCCGUCUGUCCAGUUUCAGGUUCAAGUAUCUGAUCAAGGUAGUUUUUGAUGAAGUUGAAGUCCAAACAACUACUUUUAAUGCCAAAUUCUCAAAAGAGAGGUUAAAUAGCUUCCAAGAUUUAGAUGUAUGUUUUGACCCCAAUUUCACAGUCCCCUGACCAUAUAGAAUGAUAUAGUGCUAGUGGGGCAUCUGUGUUCUAUGGACGCAUUCUUUUUUUCUAUUUUUUUUGUUCGAUUAUUCUCUUUAUUUGCUAACUCAAUCCAGACCCUCAUAAAUGUAUUCAAUGUUAGUUAUAUGGUUGUCAAUGCUAAUUGUUUACAUUUGACAUACUAUAUUUGGACCUAUAUAUAUAUAUAUAUUCGUGUCAAUAGACAAUUACUUGGUUAUUUUCACCGACAAA